CCCCUCCAGAGAGCUUUUUCCGAACUUUUGGUUGUACCUCGAUCGACGAUACGACACUCGUCGCGCGUCGCUCUACUCGCGAGGGUAGGAAAUUCGUUGAUUUCGUGGUGAAAGGAGAGAUAGAACAGUUGCCAUCAUGGACGCGAUCAAGAAGAAGAUGCAAGCGAUGAAGCUUGAGAAGGACAAUGCCAUGGACAAGGCUGAUGUCUGCGAGGGUCAGGCCAAAGAGGCAAACAUGCGUGCGGACAAAGUCCUCGAGGAGGUUGCCGAUCUGCAGAAGAAGCUCGCCCAGGUUGAAAACGAUCUUCAGACGAACAAGGGUGCCCUUGAGCAGGCCAACAAGGAUCUCGAGGAACGCGAGAAGUCCCUCACCAACGCGGAGUCCGAAGUGGCUGCUCUCAACAGGAAAGUCCAGCUCAUCGAGGAAGACCUGGAGCGGUCAGAGGAACGCCUGAACACUGCCACUGCCAAAUUGACAGAGGCCUCGCAGGCGGCUGACGAGUCAAGCCGUAUGUGCAAAGUACUGGAGAAUCGUGCCCAGCAGGACGAGGAGCGAAUGGAUCAGCUAACGAAUCAGCUGAAGGAGGCGCGUCUCCUCGCUGAAGAUGCUGACGGCAAGUCCGACGAGGUCUCCCGAAAGCUGGCAUUCGUUGAGGACGAGCUCGAAGUAGCGGAGGAUCGUGUCAAGUCCGGAGAAGCAAAGAUCAUGGAAUUGGAGGAGGAGCUCAAGGUCGUCGGCAAUAGCUUGAAAUCCCUGGAGGUCUCAGAGGAAAAGGCCAACCAGAGAGUCGAGGAAUUCAAACGCCAGCUGAAAACCCUGACUGUCAAGCUAAAAGAGGCCGAGGCACGGGCUGAAUUCGCCGAGAAGACCGUCAAGAAGCUCCAGAAGGAGGUCGACAGGCUCGAAGACGACUUGUCCCAUCAGAAGGAGAAACACAAAGCUAUUUGCGACGACUUGGAUUCGACAUUUGCUGAGCUUAGCGGAUACUAAAUAUUUACCAUCAUUACACAUCACGGAAAUAACUAUUUAAAUAGAUAUUUUUAAAUAGAAAAAUUAUCACAGGCAUACUAGAUAAUUUAUCCGGUCGUAAAUUCAGUCGAAAUUCUCGGGCCUCAUUUUCACGAAUAUUUUUCUAUUCAAUUUGAUAAACAAAUUGGAGUGAAGAAAGUCUUGGAUAUUUAGGCCCAACAGCUUCUGUGGAAUAGAAAUAAUAAAUAUCGAUAGUCUUUUUCAUUGAAAAAUUAUUUUCUUAUGAUUUUAGAAUCAGGAGUUAAUAUUCUCAUGUUUUUUCCGUGAUUACACAUCUAACACGCUUUCCACAACUCAAUAAUUUUUCCCCAAAAAAUUUACAACAACGAUUAGGGAGAGAAUAAUGCGUCGAUCGUCGGAUCCCAGACGAACUUGGCAUCAACAAGGACAGAUACAAGUCUCUGGCCGACGAGAUGGACUCGACCUUCGCUGAAUUGGCAGGAUAUUAA